AAGUUCAGGUGGAUGAUGCCUGGCUCGAGACCAUUCCAUCUCAUGACGCUGAUGAUGAUGUCGGACCAGGCUUCAUUCCCCUCAACUU
rnacentral:pre_miRNA from 1 species